UGCUCCAGCCUUACUCUGGCCUUACUCCCUCUUUACUCCGCUGUUACUCCAUGGUUACUCCAUGGUUACCCCACCCAAUGUCAGGGUCUGCAUUGCCCCCCCCCCCAAAUGUUGGGUAAUAGGGGAGGGCUUACUCCGGGUUUGCUCAACCCUUACUCUGACUUUACUCAACCCUUACUCUGGUCUUACUCAGCCCUUACUCGGGGUUGCCCCAUGCAUGCGUGUCCUUACUCAGCCCUUACUCCAGGUUUGCACAUGGGGUUGUGACGGGGGCCUUACUCACCCCACACUUUGUGAUUAUUCGGUACUUUGUCACUACUCAAUCCUUACUCUGAGUUUACUCAGCCCUUCAGGUAUUUCCCAUUAUUUUGUCACUAAUCAGCCUUUACUCUGAGCUUACUCAGCCCUUACUCUGGGCUUACUCUGCCCUUACUCGGGGUCACCCCAUGCAUGCGUGCCCUUACUCAGCCCUUACUCCAGGUUUGCUCAUGGGGUUGUGGCAGGGGCCUUACCCCACACUUCAUGAUUAUUCGGUACUUUGUCCCUACUCAAUCCUUACUCUGAGUUUACUCAGCCCUUACUUUGGGUGUUACCCGUUAUUAUUUCACUGCUCAGCCUUUACUCCAAGUCUGCUCAGCCCUUACUAAGAUAGUAUUUGAUGCUUUGUCCGUACUCAAUCCUUACUCUGAGCUUACUCAGCCC
rnacentral:lncRNA from 1 species